UCACCCCUCAAGCCCGGCUUGCUGUUGGUGGUGGCGCGGCCCCCUCCCGGGCCGCCGCCCCGUCCAAAGAUAAUGACGGCGUCUGUGAGGACUCCUGUACACUGAGCUUUCGGGCACGUACACGGUUAGAAAUUCAGACGCCGGUCGCCGCCUUCCCCCCGGGGGAGGCACACCUUUCAUACCAA
rnacentral:misc_RNA from 1 species